CCUACGGGAGACAGCAGUGAGGAAUAUUGGUCAAUGGUCGGGAGACUGAACCAGCCAAGCCGCGUGAGGGAUGAAGGUACAGAGUAUCGUAAACCUCUUUUGUCAGGGAACAAAGGCGGGGACGUGUCCCCGGAUGAGUGUACCUGAAGAAAAAGCAUCGGCUAACUACGGGCAAGCAGCAGCGGUAAUACGGAGGUUGCGAGCGUUAUCCGGUUUUAUUGGGUUUAAAGGGUGCGCAGGCGGUCUGGUAAGUCAGCGUUCAAAGCCCGGGGCUCAACCCCGGCCCGCCGUUGAAACUGGCAGUCUCGAGUUGGAGAGAAGUAUGCGGAAUGCGCAGUGUAGCGGUGAAAUGCAUAGAUAUCGCGCAGAACUCCGAUUGCGAAGGCAGCAUGCCGGCUCCACACUGACGCUGAGGCACGAAAGCGUGGGUAUCGAACAGGAUUAGAUACCCCGGUAGUC
rnacentral:rRNA from 1 species